AACGGCGCGGGGGCGCACGGGUCGGGAGGAGCUGCGCCGAAAGGCCUUGUGGGGGUUGGUGCUAGCGCGGCUUCCCGGCGCUCGUGGAAUCUUCUGGAGCCCUUUUCCUCCACUCAGCGAGCCUGAGAGUGCGGAAGUCUCCGGCUGGUGGGGCAUGGCCCAGGAGCAGUAGUGAUGAUGCGGGUGUGCUGGUUGGUGAGACAGGACAGCCGGCACCAGCGAAUCAGACUUCCACAUUUGGAAGCAGUUGUGAUUGGGCGUGGCCCAGAGACCAAGAUCACUGAUAAGAAAUGUUCUCGACAGCAAGUACAGUUGAAAGCAGAGUGUAACAAGGGAUAUGUCAAGGUAAAGCAGAGUUUGAGGAAGAGGCAAAGAACCCUGGCCUGGAAACACACAGGAAGAGAAAGAGAUCAGGCAACAGUGAUUCUAUAGAAAGGGAUGCUGCUCAGGAAGCUGAGGCUGGGACAGGGCUGGAACCUGGGAGCAACUCUGGCCAAUGCUCUGUGCCCCUAAAGAAGGGAAAAGAUGCACCUAUCAAAAAGG
rnacentral:sRNA from 1 species